UGGGGAAUAUUGGACAAUGGGCGAAAGCCUGAUCCAGCCAUGCCGCGUGUGUGAAGAAGGUCUUCGGAUUUUAAAGCACUUUAAGUUGGGAGGAAGGGCAGUAAGUUAAUACCUUGCUGUUUUGACGUUACCGACAGAAUAAGCACCGGCUAACUCUGUGCUAG
rnacentral:rRNA from 1 species